rnacentral:rRNA from 1 species
CCUACGUGGUGCAGCAGUGAGGAAUAUUGGUCAAUGGGCGCGAGCCUGAACCAGCCAAGUAGCGUGAAGGAUGACUGCCCUACGGGUUGUAAACUUCUUUUAUAAAGGAAUAAAGUGAGGCACGUGUGCCUUUUUGUGUGUACUUUAUGAAUAAGGAUCGGCUAACUCCGUGCCAGCAGCCGCGGUAAUACGGAGGAUCCGAGCGUUAUCCGGAUUUAUUGGGUUUAAAGGGAGCGUAGAUGGGUUGUUAAGUCAGUUGUGAAAGUUUGCGGGUCAACCGUAAAAUUGCAAUUGAUACUGGCAGUCUUGAGUACAGUUGAGGUAGGCGGAAUUCGUGGUGUAGCGGUGAAAUGCUUAGAUAUCACGAAGAACUCCGAUUGCGAAGGCAGCUUACUAAACUGCCACUGACAUUGAUGCUCGAAAGUGUGGGUAUCAAACAGGAUUAGAUACCCGAGUAGUC